CGGAUUAGUGGCGAACGGGUGAGUAAUACGUGAGUAACCUGCCCUUGACUCUGGGAUAAGCCUGGGAAACUGGGUCUAAUACUGGAUACUACCUCUCACCGCAUGGUGGGUGGUGGAAAGGGUUUUACUGGUUUUGGAUGGGCUCACGGCCUAUCAGCUUGUUGGUGGGGUAAUGGCUCACCAAGGCGACGACGGGUAGCCGGCCUGAGAGGGUGACCGGCCACACUGGGACUGAGACACGGCCCAGACUCCUACGGGAGGCAGCAGUGGGGAAUAUUGCACAAUGGGCGGAAGCCUGAUGCAGCGACGCCGCGUGAGGGAUGACGGCCUUCGGGUUGUAAACCUCUUUCAGUAGGGAAGAAGCGAGAGUGACGGUACCUGCAGAAGAAGCGCCGGCUAACUACGUGCCAGCAGCCGCGGUAAUACGUAGGGCGCAAGCGUUGUCCGGAAUUAUUGGGCGUAAAGAGCUCGUAGGCGGUUUGUCGCGUCUGCUGUGAAAGCCCGGGGCUCAACCCCGGGUCUGCAGUGGGUACGGGCAGACUAGAGUGCAGUAGGGGGAGACUGGAAUUCCUGGUGUAGCGGUGAAAUGCGCAGAUAUCAGGAGGAACACCGAUGGCGAAGGCAGGUCUCUGGGCUGUUACUGACGCUGAGGAGCGAAAGCAUGGGGAGCGAACAGGAUUAGAUACCCUGGUAGUCCAUGCCGUAAACGUUGGGCACUAGGUGUGGGGACAUUCCACGUUUUCCGCGCCGUAGCUAACGCAUUAAGUGCCCCGCCUGGGGAGUACGGCCGCAAGGCUAAAACUCAAAGGAAUUGACGGGGGCCCGCACAAGCGGCGGAGCAUGCGGAUUAAUUCGAUGCAACGCGAAGAACCUUACCAAGGCUUGACAUUCACCGGACCGCCCCAGAGAUGGGGUUUCCCUUCGGGGCUGGUGGACAGGUGGUGCAUGGUUGUCGUCAGCUCGUGUCGUGAGAUGUUGGGUUAAGUCCCGCAACGAGCGCAACCCUCGUUCUAUGUUGCCAGCACGUGAUGGUGGGGACUCAUAGGAGACUGCCGGGGUCAACUCGGAGGAAGGUGGGGAUGACGUCAAAUCAUCAUGCCCCUUAUGUCUUGGGCUUCACGCAUGCUACAAUGGCCGGUACAAAGGGUUGCGAUACUGUGAGGUGGAGCUAAUCCCAAAAAGCCGGUCUCAGUUCGGAUUGAGGUCUGCAACUCGACCUCAUGAAGUCGGAGUCGCUAGUAAUCGCAGAUCAGCAACGCUGCGGUGAAUACGUUCCCGGGCCUUGUACACACCGCCCGUCAAGUCACGAAAGUUGGUAACACCCGAAGCCGGUGGCCUAACC
rnacentral:rRNA from 1 species